GACUGUCAGGGGGAAGCAGAUCGUACUGGCAUAUGUUAUUAAUGAGUUUAGCAGCCACCAUACCAUUGCAAUGUUGAUGGUUCCAGCGAGCAUUUUUCCAAUGAACUAGGCAUUCCCAUAUGGAAAAGAAAGAUAGGAGUAGAAUAGUUCGGCUAUCGUAAAUUAAAACACUAGAUGUAGCGUAAAACAAUAGAAGGUAUUUACUACUUUUGAUUGUUUAAUAUAAGUUAGAAUUCUAAGCUUCAAAUGGUUUUGGGAUGCCCAAAAAUAUGGUAAGAUGAUUUUCCUUGCAAACUGUUUUUGGUGAACUCACCCCAAGACAAGCAGAAUGCUUUACUUAUGUAUCCAUACUUUAGCAUAAUCUUGUUAAUAUGUUAAUACACACUGCUGCGCUUUCUGUUGGAAGGUUUGAGCUUCCAUCAUUGUUGAGGAAAAAUUUCAUGCUAUUGCAGUAACUAAAUGUAGGACAAAUUUUAAUCACGCAUUUGCAUACUUAUUUGAAGGGCUAGAGUUUGAAAAUUACUUUUAGUAGGGUUAACAGUGUUGGAGAAAGGAUGUGGGGUUUGUAUAUUGAAUAGGAUGGGAAUUGAUUAAGUUUUGACCCAGGAAGAGUGAUCAUAUCUGAAAAGCUUUUCUCAUGAUAUCUCCUCUUCUCCUUUUCCUUUCUUCUUUUUAUGUACU
rnacentral:misc_RNA from 1 species